UCCGAAAUAGUUUAGUGGCUAGAAUUUGCGCCUGUCAGAUAAAUAUCAGCUCGCGUGGGACCGGGGUUCAAUUCCCCGUUUCGGAG
rnacentral:tRNA from 1 species